GCAAGUCGAGCGGUAGCAUGGCUUCACCGUUCUCUUGACACACUUGGCUUUAUGCGAGUGGUAAGAUUCGAGGGAACUGUGAAGCUGAUGACUAGCGGCGGACGGCUGAGUAACGCGUGAGAACAUACUCCAAAGUGAGGGAUAACUAGUCGAAAGAUUAGCUUAUACCGCAAUGUGAUCUUGGAAUUAAAGCAUUUAUGCGCUUUGGGAAUGGCUUGCGUACGAUUAGAUAUUUGCUGAGGUAAAGGCUCACCAAGUCGACGAUCGUUAGAUGGUUUGAGAGGAUGAUCAUCCAGACUGGGACUGAGACACGGCCCAGACUCCUACGGGAGGCAGCAGUAGGGAAUCUUUCACCAUGGGCGAAAGCCUGAUGGAGCAAUGCCGCGUGCAGGACGAAGGCCUUCGGGUUGUAUACUGCUUUUAUAAGCGAGAAAUAUGAUGGUAACUUAUGAAUAAGGAUCGGCUAACUACGUGCCAGCAGCCGCGGUCAUACGUAGGAUCCGAGCAUUAUCCGG
rnacentral:rRNA from 1 species